rnacentral:tRNA from 1 species
UGGGGUAUAUAGUGAUUGGUACUUAUAUCGCUACGUUGGGGACGUAGAGGCCGCUGGUUCAAGUCCAGUCACUCCGACCA